ACGAACGCUGGCGGCAUGCCUAACACAUGCAAGUCGAACGAGACCUUCGGGUCUAGUGGCGCACGGGUGCGUAACGCGUGGGAACCUGCCCUUAGGUUCGGAAUAACUCCCCGAAAGGGGUGCUAAUACCGGAUAAUGUCUUCGGACCAAAGAUUCAUCGCCUUUGGAUGGGCCCGCGUUGGAUUAGCUAGUUGGUAGGGUAAAAGCCUACCAAGGCGACGAUCCAUAGCUGGUCUGAGAGGAUGAUCAGCCACACUGGGACUGAGACACGGCCCAGACUCCUACGGGAAGCAGCAGUGGGGAAUAUUGGACAAUGGGCGAAAGCCUGAUCCAGCAAUGCCGCGUGAGUGAUGAAGGCCUUAGGGUUGUAAAGCUCUUUUACCCGGGAUGAUAAUGACAGUACCGGGAGAAUAAGCUCCGGCUAACUCCGUG
rnacentral:rRNA from 1 species